rnacentral:sRNA from 1 species
AUGUCCCACUCGUACACUGCGCGCCUGAGCGCGCCGUCCGCAGCCGCCUGACGGCGGCUCGCGACGUGUUGGUCGCC